CAGUAGCCGCGGUAAUACGUAGGGUGCGAGCGUUAAUCGGAAUUACUGGGCGUAAAGCGUGCGCAGGCGGUUAUAUAAGACAGAUGUGAAAUCCCCGGGCUCAACCUGGGACCUGCAUUUGUGACUGUAUAGCUAGAGUACGGUAGAGGGGGAUGGAAUUCCGCGUGUAGCAGUGAAAUGCGUAGAUAUGCGGAGGAACACCGAUGGCGAAGGCAGCCCCCUAGGCCAAUACUGACGCUCAUGCACGAAAGCGUGGGGAGCAAACAGGAUUAGAUACCCCAGUAGUCCCUGUCUCUUAUAC
rnacentral:rRNA from 1 species